UCUGUAGCAAUUAAAACUUUACAUGGAUUAUUGACGUCAUUGAAUUUUGCAGCCUGGGCCAGCUUAGUUCCUGGUGGAAGACUUCCAUAUAUUACCGCUACUUCGAUACCACGGGCUUCAAUUGCACGUGAAACGGAAUAAAUGUCGUUUUUACUAAAACAAACUACACAAUCUCCAGGCAAUACAUUUUCUAUUGAUACUAAUGCUUUUUGUUCAAUUUCCAGAGGUGUUAAGCGUUUAUAUCUUCGGACCUCAACGUCCUCCCCUGUUGUUACACAUAUUGAACGAACCUGCCAAAAGAACUGACAAGGUGUGGAUACGCUCGUCAUCUCGACUGUGCAAGAUAUGUGAUUGGAUUGGUUUCCUUCUCCUUGUGCAUAAUUUCUUUCUUCUCCUGUUACCAAGUCACAAGGAGUGCC
rnacentral:misc_RNA from 1 species